UGCUCCGGCGCGGUGGUCGGCCGGAGCGCCGCCGCGCCGGAGUUUUUUUUUUUGCUUUUUUUGAAAUUUUUUUACAUCAAAAUACUCCUCUUCCCUUCCUCUACACAAAUCCAAGCUCAAAAUUUCGAAAACAUACACCAAAAAUCCUAGAUCUACAAAUGAAAAACGUGAAAUUUUACCUCUUUUUCCGGUUUCCUUUCCUCCUAGUUUGAGUCCGGUUCUCUCCUUUUCUUCCUUCUUCCGGUUCGCGUGUUCUUCCUUGUUUCCGGUUCGGCUGGCUCUCCUCUACUCCGGUUCGUUUGGCUCUGUUUUGGUUCGGAUUUGUUGGUUUUUUAUUCGGUUCGGUUUUAUUCGUUGUGUUAUGUGUGAGUUCGAGUUGGUUUUGUGAAUUUGUGCUGUUUAUGUUAACAAAUGUUCAUGAAUGUUGUUGAGGAGAGAGAGAAGGAAAUUGUGUUUGUGACUUGAUUGGAAAAAAUGUGUGGUUGCUGAUUUUUCUGUGAACAGUGAUUU
rnacentral:lncRNA from 1 species